rnacentral:rRNA from 1 species
CAGGCCUAACACAUGCAAGUCGAGCGGAAACGAGAUAUCUGAACCUUCGGGGAACGAUAUCGGCGUCGAGCGGCGGACGGGUGAGUAAUGCCUGGGAAAUUGCCCUGAUGUGGGGGAUAACCAUUGGAAACGAUGGCUAAUACCGCAUAAUAGCUUCGGCUCAAAGAGGGGGACCUUCGGGCCUCUCGCGUCAGGAUAUGCCCAGGUGGGAUUAGCUAGUUGGUGAGGUAAGGGCUCACCAAGGCGACGAUCCCUAGCUGGUCUGAGAGGAUGAUCAGCCACACUGGAACUGAGACACGGUCCAGACUCCUACGGGAGGCAGCAGUGGGGAAUAUUGCACAAUGGGCGCAAGCCUGAUGCAGCCAUGCCGCGUGUGUGAAGAAGGCCUUCGGGUUGUAAAGCACUUUCAGUCGUGAGGAAGGUAGUGUGUUUAAUAGAUGCAUUAUUUGACGUUAGCGACAGAAGAAGCACCGGCUAACUCCGUGCCAGCAGCCGCGGUAAUACGGAGGGUGCGAGCGUUAAUCGGAAUUACUGGGCGUAAAGCGCAUGCAGGUGGUGUGUUAAGUCAGAUGUGAAAGCCCGGGGCUCAACCU